GUUCCUGUGGUGUAGUGGUUAUCACAUUCGCCUUACACGCGGAAGGCCCCCGGUUCGAUCCCGGGCGGGAACA
rnacentral:tRNA from 1 species